GGCUCCAUAGUAUAGUGGUUAGCAUGUCUACUUUACAAGGAGAAGGUCCUGGGUUCGCACCCCCGGUGGAGCCA
rfam:Pteropus alecto contig166709, whole genome shotgun sequence.